rnacentral:rRNA from 1 species
CGAGAGGACCGGGAAGAGGGGACCUCCAGUGUACGGGUUAUCGCGCCAGCGGUAAACGCCCGGUAGCUGUGUUCCAAGCGGAUAAGUGCUGAAAGCAUAUAAGUACGAAGCCCACCGUAAGAUAAGAUCUCUCAUAGCACAAGCUAGUAAGUCUCCUGGCAGAAUACCAGGUUGAUAGGUCAGAGAUGUAAGUAUGGCAACAUAUUCAGUCGACUGAUACUAAUCGGACGAGGGCUUUUCCUA